UGGGGAAUUUUGGACAAUGGGGGAAACCCUGACCCAGCCAUCCCGCGUGUGCGAUGAAGGCCUUCGGGUUGUAAAGCACUUUUGGCAGGAAAGAAACGUCGCGGGUUAAUACCCCGCGAAACUGACGGUACCUGCAGAAUAAGCACCGGCUAACUACGUGCCAGCAGCCGCGGUAAUACGUAGGGUGCAAGCGUUAAUCGGAAUUACUGGGCGUAAAGCGUGCGCAGGCGGUUCGGAAAGAAAGAUGUGAAAUCCCAGAGCUUAACUUUGGAACUGCAUUUUUAACUACCGGGCUAGAGUGUGUCAGAGGGAGGUGGAAUUCCGCGUGUAGCAGUGAAAUGCGUAGAUAUGCGGAGGAACACCGAUGGCGAAGGCAGCCUCCUGGGAUAACACUGACGCUCAUGCACGAAAGCGUGGGGAGCAAACAGGAUUAGAUACCCUGGUAGUCCACGCCCUAAACGAUGUCAACUAGCUGUUGGGGCCUUCGGGCCUUGGUAGCGCAGCUAACGCGUGAAGUUGACCGCCUGGGGAGUACGGUCGC
rnacentral:rRNA from 1 species